CCAACUGUAAGGAGACCUGGUCCCCUUCCUCAGGAGCUGAGGUUUCUGAUGCCAAAAACAGCAGGUCCUCAGCCAACAGAGACAACUGUAAUAGUUCCAGUGUCAGAGGCACUUGUGAUUACUCCCGAUACGUCUGCAGAGCCCAGUCAACCAGCGCUGCAGCCACCAAUUGGACAGAGAGCUCAAAGUCAGCCGGUAACCAGGCCAUCAAGGGUCCCCAGCAUUCCUCCUCCACAGCUUCCUGGCUAUGACCAUGAUAGAAGUGUUCUCACCAGCAGAGGAUCUGGAUGAAGACAGAGCUGGAAUCGAUGGGUCUCUGGCCCGGCUCCAUUCCUGUCCACAACCCCAUGAAGAUGGUGUCAUUGUGGCGUUUCCCUCCCCAGCCAGAAUUAAUUGACAGCAUCUCUGAUCCUCCAUCCCCAAAGUACUUUCAGCUCCAUCCCUUCUUUAUAUGGAAGCCAGAGAAUGACUUAAUGGCAAGGCUGAGGAACAACGAUACUCUGCCAUGCAUUGAAGGUUGCGCUCAGGCCCGAGUUGCCUCUGCAGGUGUUGGUAGACCUCGUGUGAUUGUUGGCAUCACUGGACAGUACUACCUUUUUUCAUCCAGGCUGUGCUGUAAAGUUUGCCGGAAAAGGUGGUAUGCUGACAAUCCACUGUGGCUGGAAAAACUAUCAAAGAGGUUCACAAAUCUGUUGCUGGCAAUACUGACCUACAAGAAGGCCAUCUGUAAAUCCGUAAUGGACGAGCUCAGGCGCACAGGUAACGACAUGGCAAAGCAGAUCAUGGAGAUGAUGCACCUGAAAUAUGAGCGUGCUCACCUGGCCUUCCUCCUUACCUGCCAGAACAUUGUGGACGGUGAGGCAGGAAAGUAUGACCUAAGAACCAUCACUCAGUUCAUAAGACAGGAAACCAAGCCAGCUCCCUUUGGAGAGUAUGGGGAUUCAGAUGGCUGGAACGGGAUCUCUGUGUCUGCACACUACCUAACUGACUGCCUACUGCAUGAGUACAAGCACCAGGAGGGUGCUAUCACAAAGCUUCUUCAGGGCAAAAGGUGCUAGGAAGGUCACCUUUUCAUCUGGGACCAUGUCAUCAUAUGCAGUCCUGAAUGAGAACUGGAUGAUCCUUUGAUGGGUGAUGGUGCAGUCUGAGACAGAGAAGUCACUGAAGCCCAUGUAUGAAGGUAUAGCCCACCGCUACAACACUGCAGCCAUAGAGAAGGCCCACUACCAGUGGGUAGACAGGGAUUGCUGCGCAGCAUUUAAGGUUGCAGAAUAUUACACAGGAGAACAUAUGAACUGGGAUGCUUGGACAACUACUAAUAGCAUUGUUGCUGAUGCCACUACUGGUGACCUGCUGAACACCUGUGCAUCAAGAUCCCACUACAAUGAAAACAUAAUUCUCAAGCUGGACUUGUUCCACUGUUUGAGACGGUUCCUCCGUGAGUGUGUGUCAGAGCAUCAUCCCCUGUACAGUUCCUUUCCUCAGUUCCUGUCGGCAGCCUUUUCAGCGGUGGAUCAGGAAGACCUGCAGAGGCUUAAAGAGGCAUAUGCCUUCUGUGGCAUUCAGCCUGCCAACCCAACAAAGGCACACAUUCGUGAGCACUGCAGGACCAGAAUUCCACAGCCUGAGGAGCUCGUCAAGAGAGUCGAGGGAGUUUUCCAGCACUUUUACCUCGCAACUGAUCCAAACGGCGUUCCUCUCUUCAAGCCCUCUAUGCUGAAGACAUGGCGCAUUCAGCGCAUACACAUCUUGCGCGGGUGCCUGAUCCUGAGGUUGAAGGUGGGAUCUUGUACAGGCACGGAGGAACACUGCAGCUAAACCACGUGCAGGGGGAAGGUGCUAAAGUUCCUGUGUGGAUCCCCAUCAGAGGCACUUCACAGCAAGAGGGAUACCAUUUCCAUCAGGCUCAGUGGGUCACUGGAACACGCGUCUCCACAGAGAGCCGUUCCAAGCCCAGGGGAUGACAGGGGUGGCACGGUGGAAUUAUCAGCGCCUGGUGGACUUGAAACAGCCAGAUGUUCACCUCCCAACUGUCUUUGAUCCAGCUUGAAUGGCAUAACUAAAUGCAGUCUCUGAAAGAGUGCUGGGGAGUGUGAAGUAUGCUGCUUUUCAUUUCACUGGCAGAACUGGAGAGAAGUUUGGCUUGGAAUAUGUUGAGCCUGGUUGCCGCCCAGUUCCUCUAGACUGGGAUAAGCACAGGAGCAAGACAGACUUAACACCUGCCCUGAAUCCCCCUCCUCAAAGCAGCCCACCCACUGCCCAGGCUGAGCUUCCUCAGUCAUCUUCCAGCUCACCAGCCAAGCUGUUUGAGUUCGCUGCAUGCCCUCCUGCUGUUAAACCAGAUGGGACUCCAAGUUCAACUCCUGAGCCUCAGACAGAGCCAGGUAAACAUUUGACACUUGACAAAGUGGUGGUUCCCUGGAGUAGCAGGGAAGUACAUUUACUGCCCUGCUAAAGUCUUUUCUAUUUACAAAGACCAGGGCAUGGAGAAGGAGAUGACCUGGAAAGAGUUCCAGGAGUCUGCCUUUUAUAAGUCAGAAAAACUGAGGUGGGAGGUCGAAAAGGGAAAAUGACGGACAUUGAUGGAGGGGGGCGGGGGAUGUUUAGUGUGUAUAUACUGUAUAUUUUGCCCAUUUCAUAUUUAUUUUAUAUAUUUUGUUUUGUAUAUGUGUGACCUUGCACUA